rnacentral:rRNA from 1 species
UACCAGCACCCCGAGUGGUCGGGACGAUUAUUGGGCCUAAAGCAUCCGUAGCCGGUUCUGCAAGUCCCCCGUUAAAUCCAGCUGCUCAACAGAUGGGCCGCGGAGGAUACUACAGAGCUAGGAGGCAGGAGAGGCAAGCGGUACUCAGUGGGUAGGGGUAAAAUCCGUUGAUCCAUUGAAGACCACCAGUGGCGAAGGCGGGUCUCUGGGCCGAUACUGACGCUGAGGAGCGAAAGCGUGGGGAGCGAACAGG